UACUGGCUAUAUUAGCCAAUAAACAUGGCACAACACCUCCCUUUAUCCUUGCACUAUUGGACUUAUUUGCACUACCACCAUGACACACACUAUAGAGCACCUUAUGCACAAUAAUUGCCCUGUCACUGCAAGAGUCUCAUGCUUAUACAUCCCUUAGUACAGUCAUAUCAAUAUCAGGGCAAUGCGUUAUGAUAGAUGUUCUCACCAAUAAUUGUUAAUUUUCAUAUUUCUGCUAUGCUAUGAUUGUUGCCAUUUGUACAGGCAAUAGUGUAGUCAGUGUGUUGUCUUUACUAUGCUUGAUUUUGCCUGACCUGUAUUUUACAGUUACCAACGUGUGUGCUUUCUGUAAUCCUAAAUGAAGUGGUACUACAGGAAGGAGAUAAGGCAUACUUAAGAUUGGCUCUUGUGUGUCCACUGACUCCUUCAGGAGACGGCACAUUUUCAGUGGCUUGACAGAGUCGCUACAUGGAGCAGGUUUUCUGAGUCCUACAGAAAAUAAUUCUACACCAUGUACACCGUGGACACCUGUCGUGAAUGUGGAAUGCUUUUCAAAAACUGCACACCUGGAUAUGUUAGAACAGGACAAAGGGGUGUACUUGAAGCAGUUUACUCAGAACACCCACAUCCAGGUUACUGCGAUCACUUUUGCCGCCAAAUGCAAUAGUGAGAACGGACACGUAUACUAACUGUUGGCAGACAACCCUGAGCCAGCUGGGUGUUUUUCAAGCUGCAGGCCCCCGUGACAAUUUGUGGCUGGAAACUUGGGAUUGAAUUUUGAAU